CGGGGCUGCUCUGUCUAUGGAGUAGCCAUUCUUUUAUUCGAAUACUUUACUCUCCUAACAAACUUGCUUUCAUUUUACUCUACAGACUCACCCUGAAUUCUUUCUUGCACUUGCUCUAAGAACCCUCUCUUGGGGUCUGGAUCCGGACCGCUUUCUGCUAACACUUCUACAUACCACGUUUAUUUGAGACAGAAAAAUACAGCAAGGACAUCCAUCUAAACUUUGUCUGGAGUCUGGGCCCAGGGGAGCUGCAGUACAUGGAGGGUCUCUGGAAGUGGGUAUGGCAGAUUAGCGCCUAAGCUCAACUGGCUUUCCUCCUCUGCCUCUGUUCCUGGGACUUGCUCACGGCUCACAAGCAUUUCCCAGGGGAGUAAAAGGAAGGAUCAAAGCUACAAUGGGCUUGGCUGCCCUUCUCCAGGAAUGGCCAGAGGACAACUUCUGCUUGGAAAGUUCCUGGAUACUUCUGGAACAGAAUUCUCCUGGGGUGAGUGGUUCACACAACUGACCCACUUCAUCCCCACUCAGCAAAAUGAGAGCGCCGUUGACUGACAACAAAAUGCUGAACUGGAAACCUCCGCAGUAAAACGUGAUGCAGAACAGAGAAAGAACUAAGAUGUUCUGCACAGACGGUAUCAUGCCCUCUAUGAGGAAACUACUCGAGCAUAUCUGUGUUUCAAAUGAUGUCUUUGAACUAUUUAUGUUAAAUGCCCCCCCAAAAAAAUGGAAAGGCUUCUUCGUAGAGGAAAGAGCUUGAAGUUGCUAGGCUGUUCUGCCUUCAACAGGCAUUUAUUGUGCAGCUACAAAAUGCUGCACCAAGCACUGGGCAGUGGAAAGGUGAUUCAGACACAGUUCCUUUGACAAAACCUCAAAAUCCCAUGUGAAGUUCUCUUUUAUAAAGUAAAUCAGAAAAGAUUCAAAAGUUGAGGUACCAAAAAAAAAUAAUAUAAAUGCAAGUAGUAAAGCGCUAUUGACUGUAAAUAGAAGCACUUAAUAAGUGGUUGUUGUUUCUGUUCUUCUCUCUAAUAAGUGUAUACAGGUGGCUAAAUGCUUUUGUUGAGCUAUGAGUACCUCAUUCUGUGGAGUGACUCAGAAAGUCUCUAGGUGUUAGACUGGAAACAGGUGAUGUUCAGUGCACGCAAUGCUUGAAGUGUUCCCAGGUAUUUAGUUUCAGGUAAAUUUUACUGUUUAAAAAAAUUGUUUUUACUUGCUAUUAAGUGUGUUGACCUUGGAUAAUUUACUUAACCUCUCUAUGCCUUGCUUCCUUUUCUGCAAAAUGAGAGUAAGAAAAGUGCUUACCUCAUUGGCUUUUUGUGAAAUUCAAUGAGUUAACACGUGGGAGAAAAGAUGUUUUUAAAUAAUCAAUUCUUAGCAGUUGGUCAUUGUUAUGAGUUACAUCAUGCGUAGUUAAAUAUUUUUUAAAAAAUUAAAAUUUAUUUUCCUAUAGGAAAAAGGAGGGACUGAAUUGUGAAUCCAUUUUCUCUGCUUUCAGUUAUUUCUACUCCUGAGAAAAACCCUAAGCACUUAGGGUCUAGAACCACAUCCCGAGACGGUGAGCUCUUCCCACAUUUUCACAUGUGCCUGAAUCAUUUGUAGGUCUCGUUCAAGCAGAGAAUCUCCGGGAUUCUCACUCGGGAGGUCUGGGGUCGGGCCUGAGUCCUUGCAUUUCUAACAAACUCCCAGUUGAUGCUGGUGCCACUGGUUCUGAAUUAAGAUGCUUGUUUACCUAGUGACAGCAACAAAAAUUGUAGCAAUGGUAUCCAGAAAUAAACAGCAUACUUUUAUAGGGCUAGUCAAAUGAACCCAAACAUACAAAAUAAAGGCAAACCUCACAAUCUUCUUGCAAUGAUUUAUUACUCUGAGAGCUCAUUUUAGGUGAGAUUGUCUCCCUCCGGAGCCUGAUUCCUAAAAGCUUUCUAUGACUUUGAAAUUAUCGUUUUCCUUUUGGAGGUAGCACAAUAUAAGAGCUAAGAAGAGAAUGAGAACUGGAGUCCCUCCCAGGUUUGCCCCUCUAGGUAUGUAAGCUAAGGUAAACUACUUAGCCUUUCUUAAGCCUCAGUUUUCUCAUUACAAAUGGGCAUAUACGGAACAUUGGCUUGCCUCCUACAGUUGUUUGAGGACUCAAUGAAAAUGUACGUGAAGCUGGUUGCGGUGAGCUGAGAUUGUGCCACUGCACUCCAGCCUUGUGACACAGCGAGACUCCGUCUCAAAAAAAUAAAUAAAUAAAUAAAUAAAAAUAAAAGACUGGUUGCGGUUGCUCAUGCCUGUAAUUCCAGCACUUUGGGAGGCUGAGGUGGGCGGAUCACAAGGUCAAGAAAUCAAGACCAUCUUGGCUAACAUGGUGAAACCACAUCUCUACUAAAACUACAAAAAUUAGCUGGGCAUGGUAGCACAUGCCUGUAGUCCCAGCUACUCGGGAGGGCUGAGGCAGGAGAAUCGCUUGAACCAGGGAGGCAGAGGGUGCAGUGAGCCGAAAUCAUGCCACUGCACUCCAGCCUUGUGACAGAGUGAGACUCCAUCUCAAAAAAAAAAAAAAAAAAAAGAAAAAGAAAAAAGAAAAUGUACGUGAAGCAGUUAUCCUGGUGCCGGUGCCUGGUACGUAUCAAGGGCACCAGAACAUUAGCUAUUUAACCUUAAGGUUUCAAAUCCACCCUUCUCUGGAGACUUCUUGUUCCCUACUCUCAUGCAUCUCUGCAUCAUGGUCAUAACCCAUAGCAACGAAAAGCCAAGGUUUCACUCUUUGAAAUCUGGAUAAUGGUAUUUGUCUGCAAUAAUAUCCUAGGAGUAGAGCUAGAGAAUUUGUUUUGGGUUUUGUUUGUUUUUGUUCAUUUUUCAGACACGGUGAGUCAGAAACGUAAGGCUCAGAGAUAUUUUUAGUUUUUCCAGCCACUAAGAAUUCUUGUUGCCUGCAGGGAAAUAAAGAAAUGCAGAGAAGGGGGAGUGCUAGACUUGCCUGCUUGCUAUCCAAAACCACUUCUUUCCUUUGAAAAAGGGUCUGUGCAGCCAAAACAAGCAGCGCUAACGCUGGGCUGAGAGUAGGCACCAGCCAUCCAGGAAAGAGACAAGGCAACCAUCAGCUACAAAAGCUGCUUCAACAGCAGACAGCUCAAAGAAUCAAAAAAUGCAUCCCAGGAGGGCUGGGUGAGGAAAGACAGUGAUCUUGCCUUGGUAUUUGCAGCAAAGUCACAGACCAGGAAGGUCAAAUCCUCGCUGAGAACCAUGUGGACAAAUGUCCAGGACAUGGUCGCUGGCCUCAGGGAGCCCACAAUUUUAUUGAAGAAGCAAGAUUGUCAGAAGUAAGGACCAAAACUCGUGUAUACAGAGAAAGGAGAAAGAUUGAGAGGAAAGAAGAGGAGAAUCAAGGAGGCAGAGAUUAAAAGAAGGAAGGGAUAGAAAAGAAAAGAAAAAGAAAGAGGGAAGGAGAGAAGGGGAAAAGUACGGACUCCGUUUCGUGACUACAUCACAAGCAUUGAUGAAAAGAAGAGAAAUCUGUGAAAACGAGAAAGCAGGCACUGUAUGUUGCAUCCUGACACACAGUGAGUUGUUACACUUUAAAAGCCACAAAGAAGAGACGCUCACCCAGAGACAGACUUGAUGGAUUUGGCAGCUUAUCAUACUGGGAAGGGCAGAAUUGGGUUAUGCUAUGUUUUCAAUGGGUCCCCUCCAAAAGUCAGCCAAUGUGAUAGUAUUAAGAGAUGAGGCCUUUAAGAGGUGAUUAGGCCAUGAGAGCUCCUUCCUCGGGCUUGGAAUUAAGUGUCCUUAUACAGAGGUUUGGCACAAGGAGUUGGCCCCCACUUGCCCUUCCGUGUUCAGCCAUGAGGACACAGUGUUCCUUCUCUCUGGAGGAUGCAGCGUGAGGGCGCCAUCUUGGAAGCACAGAGCAGCCAUCACCAGACACCAAACCUGCUGGUGCCUUGAUCUUCCCAGCCUCCAGAACUGUGUAAACACUGAGGCCCAUAGAGGUCAUCACCUGCCCAACUGGACAGCUGUGAAGCCACAGCUCACACCACUUGCUGCAUCCUCCUGCAAUUUCAGCACACUUUCUCUUGUGCUGCUCUCCCUGGAAAGACAGUGCUUUUCCCCAACACCAAUUCCACCGGCAUCGCCCUAGAAAAAUACUCACAAAGAACACGGGGAGCUAUGUCUAAGGAUCUUCAAUGAAGUAUUGUUAUAAUGGACAUUUAGUUACAACUUAAAUGUUCACCAACUGGGUGAACAUUUCCACUGACUGGGGAAUGACCAGAAACAGAAAACAGAGAACUAUGCUGUAUAACCAUCACAUGAAAUUCUGGGCAGCGGUAGAAAGGAAUGAAUGAAUCUGCUCAUGCUUACAUGAAAAGAGACAUAUUGUGAAGUGAAGGAAGUUUCAGAAUGAAGUUUACAAGUAUGAUUCCACAUGUUACAGAACAACAAGAGAUGUGGGUGUUUUGUAUGCAGACAUAUACAUGUAUGUAAACGUAUAGGAAAAGGUCUGAAAUUACGCAAGCCAAACUGAUAACAAAAUUACCCAUUGAGAAGGGGAAAGUGGUAGAAAAGAGAGAAUGCUGAUCAAGGGGAUUCUAGCCUUAUCUGAGCUGUUUGAAUUGUUUCACAAGAAUAAUGUAUUCAUGUGUUACUUGUGUGCUUAUAAUAAAUCUAAAAUAAGUUUGUCCUAAUUCUUUACAGUAGAGAAAUGGUGGCAUUUGGUGAUCAAGGAUGCAGUGUGGACUCAGACAGGCCUUAGCUUCCAUCCCAGCUUGGCUACUCGAGAGCUGUGUGACUGUACAUAAGCUACUUAAACUUUCUGUAUCUCUUUAGCCUCUUCUAUAGAAUGAAGUUGAUGACAAUACCUCAGAAGAUGUAGUGAGGAAUUAAAUGAGGCAUAAGCCAAGGUUUCUGCUGCACCUGGCAAAGAAGUGAAUCAGAUCAGAAGCACAAAUGCACGGAACUGAGUUUUCUGCCUGGACAGUGUCCUAAGACUCUCUGGCAAGAUCUCUGGUUUAACGACUUCCUGUACUUUCUUCAUCAUUUCGCCAGACAGCAGAUCUCCUGAGGGCAUGGGGAUCCCUAUAGCAAAAAUAGACACCACUGGUCAAUGCAAAGAGUCUUCCCCAGACGUGACAACUUGAUGAGCAGAGAAUGACCACUCAGGACUGGUGUGACCAGUGCACACCUCUCCCAGCAGGUUUGUUCUUGCCCCACAGGGUCUAAAACCCAGCCCCUC
rnacentral:lncRNA from 10 species